GUUACAUGAAAACAGCAGCUAGUUUAGUUGGCAACUCAAACAGUGGCACCUCACCUCAACCAGUCACUGAAUCCCAUGCUUAGGUGCUAGCAGUUUUACUCCCCAUUGCUUGGCAACAUUAGUGCAAAUAUCAACCCUACUGAUGCAAAUCUCUCAACAAAAGUUUUUCUUCUUUGGGACCACUUAGGAGGAGGCUGUGGUAGUAAUUUAGAAGAGAGAGCAAAGACAGUGGAAGAAUUGUGUUAGGGAGCUGCCAUCAAGCAAGAAACAAAAGGCCAUAUAUUGUAUCAUUCCAUUUAUAUGGAGUGUCCAGGUCCCAUUCUCCUGAUCUCUGUGAAGUGUGAUGCCACUGCCCUCUGAAACAGCCCUGAGGAGAAGGUUCCGGAACUCCAUAGGGAAAUCAAAGACUUCAGCCUUGUAACUUAUUUAUCCUACAAAGAUGAUAUCCCACGUGGCCCCAGGGUAUAUACACAUCAUGGAGCUAUAAUUAUCCAAAUUUCUCCUCAGUGUUUAUUUUUUUAACCCCUUACCCAAUUUCCCCAUGGUUAACAUCUUACGUGACUUGAGUACCUUUGUCAAA
rnacentral:lncRNA from 10 species